AUGCCAUUACAAGGGCACGCACUAUUCUCUCUGCUAUGAGUGAGAAACUUUAUGUUUUUGAGGGGGCACUUGGUGCUGGAAGCAAAAUUAAAAUGGUAAUAGAGCUGCUUGAGGGCAUUCAUUUUGUUUCUUCUGUGGAGGCCAUUUCUCUUGGUGCCCAAGCUGGUAUUCAUCCAUGGAUAAUUUAUGACAUUAUUUCUAAUGCUGCUGGAAAUUCAUGGUAAAUUAUUGUUCACAAUUCUUUACUGAGGAUUAUGCUGUGUGUUUAAAAUUUAAAUAUUUCUAGUCCUGAAGCAUUCCUUAUAAGCAUUCUGAUCUGAAAUUGCCAAUUCUAGAUCAGGCACAACCUUGAUAGAUGAGACUGCUAAUAAUCUGAUUUGCACCAUGGGCACCAGUUGAGACCAUGGCACUGAU